UAUAAUAGGUCUAGCGGAUAAGUAGUCUGGCUCUGUCUUUCAGAGAGUCUGUGGUUGCUGAAAACAGAUAGAGGAGUCAUACGAAAUUCUACCGUCUACCAAUUGAAUAUGAAUUAAGUGCACAGAUUGUGAAGCUGGAUGGAACCGCGCUCAGGCGCUCCAGUG
rnacentral:misc_RNA from 1 species